CGCUGGCGGCGUGCCUAAUACAUGCAAGUCGAACGGUCUUUCUAUGGAAGCUUGCUUCCACUGAGAAGAUAGUGGCGAACGGGUGAGUAACACGUGGGUAACCUGCCCAUAAGAGGGGGAUAACAUCCGGAAACGGGUGCUAAUACCGCAUAGUUUUCUUGAUCGCAUGAUUGAGAAAGGAAAGACGGCCUUUGUGCUGUCGCUUAUGGAUGGACCCGCGGCGUAUUAGUUAGUUGGUGAGGUAAUGGCUCACCAAGACGAUGAUACGUAGCCGACCUGAGAGGGUAAUCGGCCACAUUGGGACUGAGACACGGCCCAAACUCCUACGGGAGGCAGCAGUAGGGAAUCUUCCGCAAUGGACGAAAGUCUGACGGAGCAACGCCGCGUGAGUGAAGAAAGGUUUUCGGAUCGUAAAACUCUGUUGUCAGAGAAGAACAAGUUGGAGAGUAACUGCUCCAGCCUUGACGGUAUCUGACCAGAAAGCCACGGCUAACUACGUGCCAGCCGCCGC
rnacentral:rRNA from 1 species